rnacentral:rRNA from 1 species
CCUACGGGUGGCAGCAGUGAGGAAUAUUGGUCAAUGGGCGCGAGCCUGAACCAGCCAAGUCGCGUGAGGGAUGACGGUCCUACGGAUUGUAAACCUCUUUUGCCGGGGAGCAAGCGUGCGUUCGUGAACGCGCGUCGAGAGUACCCGGAGAAAAAGCAUCGGCUAACUCCGUGCCAGCAGCCGCGGUAAUACGGAGGAUGCGAGCGUUAUCCGGAUUUAUUGGGUUUAAAGGGUGCGUAGGUGGGCCUUCAGGCCGGCGGGAAAAUUGCGGGGCUCAACCCCGCCGAGCCGUCGGAACCGGGGGCCUUGAGUACCGGAGAAGUACGCGGAAUGCGUGGGGUAGCGGUGAAAUGCAUAGAUAUCACGCAGAACCCCGAUUGCGAAGGCAGCGUACCGGCCGGUCACUGACGCUGAGGCACGAAAGCGCGGGUAUCGAACAGGAUUAGAUACCCUAGUAGUC